rnacentral:rRNA from 1 species
GAUGAACGCUAGCGACAGGCUUAACACAUGCAAGUCGAGGGGCAGCGGUGGUGAAGGCUUGCCUUCACCAGCCGGCGACCGGCGCACGGGUGAGUAACACGUAUGCAACCUGCCUGCCACAGCCGGAUAAUCGGGAGAAAUUCCGUCUAAUACGGCAUAAUGCAUCGACGGGACAUCCUGUUGGUGCCAAAGGUUAAUUCCGGUGGCGGAUGGGCAUGCGUCGCAUUAGUUAGUUGGCGGUGUAACGGACCACCAAGACGACGAUGCGUAGGGGUUCUGAGAGGAAGGUCCCCCACACUGGUACUGAGACACGGCCCAA